GCCUUUUAAGUGAUUCUUUUGCUAUUUUAACCUGUGGAGGUUCAUUGUACGUCUGUUUUUUCAAGUUUGGCAUGUGUUUUAACACAUGUGAAGGUGUAGUCUUUUCUUCUUCAGCGGAUAUAUGUACAAGACCCCGUUCACCGUCUAUCAGGUCACAAAGCUGCACCCAGGUAGAGGCAGAUUCCAAAAAUGCUUGUGUACUUAAGUAUAGCUGCACAUUACAGAAUCCGAGGCCCUCAACAAUCAUCCGUAGCCCUCUUGUAGCCCACGAGUUCCUUAUAUUUUAUUAGGAUUGAAGAGCAACGUUUGUGCUAUAUCCCUCUAUUUCAGACGAAAUAAUGUGCAUGCAAAAUUAUAUCUUCAUUACUUUACACCAUAGUACCAAUAUCUGUCGUGCGUUGAUUUUUGAUGUCUUUGCAUUUGCUAUAGCAAGGAUUUUUAAACAUCAGCCACAAAAGAAAAAAUAAAUGGUCAAAGAACCAAGAAAUGGUGUGUAGCAGCUCCCUUCUUUUUUUAAUUGGCGGCAAGUUUUGCACUCGUGUACUUCAAAAGAAGUGUUACCUUCCUGCUUUGGAACUUUGUGGUUUUGUUCUGCCAGCUGCUUGACCAAAACAAGCAAAAUGUACUUCGGAUAUUCCACAAUUCUGUAUGCAUUUGGUACAAUAAAAUUUGUUUCAAGAAUGGACAAA